UGCAGCUUAGCCUAUUUUGAGGCCUGAAC
rnacentral:piRNA from 1 species